UAGUGAUUUUGGAGGGCAAGUCUGGUGCCAGCAGCCGCGGUAAUUCCAGCUCCAAUAGCGUAUAUUAAAGUUGUUGCAGUUAAAAAGCUCGUAGUUGAAUUUCGGGAUUAGUACGUUGGUCGUGCCUUAGGUACGUACUGGUGUUGCUGAUUCCUACCUUCUGACGAACCAUCAUGUCAUUAAUUUGGUGUGGCGGGGAAUCAGGACUGUUACUUUGAAAAAAUUAGAGUGUUUAAAGCAGGCUCGCGCUUGAAUACAUUAGCAUGGAAUAAUGAAAUAGGACGUUGACCCUAUUUUGUUGGUUUCUAGGAUUGACGUAAUGAUUAAUAGGGAUAGUUGGGGGCAUUAGUAUUCAAUUGUCAGAGGUGAAAUUCUUGGAUUUAUUGAAGACUAACUACUGCGAAAGCAUUUGCCAAGGAUGUUUUCAUUAAUCAAGAACGAAAGUUAGGGGAUCGAAGACGAUCAGAUACCGUCGUAGUCUUAACCAUAAACUAUGCCGACUAGGGAUCGGAUGAUGUUAUUUUUAAUGACUCAUUCGGCGCCUUACGGGAAACAAUCGAAUUCCCGCGGCC
rnacentral:rRNA from 1 species